rnacentral:lncRNA from 1 species
GCCUAGUCAUCAAAACAGCAGACCAUAUCUGUAUGAUAGCGGCAGACAUUUUUUGAAGCGAUACGAAAUGAGCUUGCGUGACAUGGCUUCUUCUGGGGAAGAAAUAAUAUCCAUACAGAGAGGUUGCAACUUACCUGCGCUUAACAGAUGCACCUCCUGCUGUUCCCUAUUUCACUGUCCUUUCUGUAUUUCUGAUUUUUCAAGCCCUCAAAGAAAAGUAAAGUACAAACUCACAGGAUUGGAUAUUGGGUGA